rnacentral:lncRNA from 1 species
CUGCACUACAAUUUCAGUAUGGGGUAACCCAUACCAACAAGUAUCUCUCCCUAUGCCCACUGGUGACCCUCUUGGCGAGGAAGCUUGCUGGUUUCAACGAGAAAGCCGCGGAUGAGGCAGCUGUGGCAGAAACCCGAUUCUUUGAUAUCGGGAGGCUCGUGCGGUGGCGGAUUGUUGAGAUGGAUGAAGGAGGAGACUACCGUUUGGUCCAACCAGAAGGCAGCUCAGUUCGACCUGAACCGAAGGUUGCAAGGGAACAAGGAACCUCUCGCCCAGUCAAUAGCGAGAUUAUCAAACUGACGGACGAACUGAAAGAAGUCAAGGACGAGCUGGUGAUGCUGGGAGGAGAAGUGGCCACACUGAGGGACACUGUGGAGGAAGGAUUCAAAGCGAUGGAAGCUUGCUUUAAGGAAAUCAAAGAGAUGAUGGCUGCGGAGGUGAGAUCCUCCGACCAAAAUGACUAAGUACUUUCCCCUGAACUCGUAGAUUAGGAUUUUAUUUUAUCUUUUGCUUUUUCUUGUUUUAGCGUCUGUUUUGUCUGUGAUAGAGUCGAGUCUACUUGCAUUGUUUGAUGGUG